GCCAGUGUUAUACAGUGACAGACCUGUCCCCACCCUAGUACUGUACCCCAGUGUUAUACAGUGACAGAUCUGUCUCCAUAGUUUCGUGUCCAGCCUCUGCCCACUAUGGCCAGGUAUAUUAAUGUCUUUCUGUAUCUCUUCUACAGCCCAUGCCCAGAGCAAGGAAUGGGGGACGAGUUUAACUUGAUGGAUCACUCUGACCUGUACAUCCUAGAUUUCAGUCCAAGUCUGAAGACCUUAUGCAAACUAGCUGUGAUUCAGUACAGCUUGGAUCAAUCUGCUCUCCCUCACGACAUCCGGUAAGUUCAUUCCUGUUUGUUGCUGCUCUGCUCUCUGUCAGUGAGAUGCAAGGCUUUCAAAACCAUCAAUAUUAUCAGCCAGAUUCAGCCCACUUACCCUUUUCUGCCAAGUGCAGAAUCCUUACGUCGUUAACGAGUCACCAAAAUCUUCUUGCCUUUUUUAAAAAGAGUGCGAAAUAUGACCAGGUGAGUUUCUGGAGCAAAUACGUCUUCCUAGCUGAAAAUCUUCGAAACAAAACCCUAUGAGAAUCUGA